UUACCUAAGAGAUCAAUGGUGAUAAUUCAGAGAGGCAGUGUUGCUAUGCACUGCAAUGUUUCCCAGGUCAGAAAAGCACAUGCACAAGAUUUGCAGAACAUUAGAAGUUUGCAGAAGUCCCAUCUGAGGUCAAAACAACCUUGAGUCAGGAGCUGGCCUCCCGAUGGGAUGAUGUGUAGGGCCAAAUUCAGACCUGGUGCAAGCAGCUGCAAUUCUGCUGAUUUCACACUAGGUCUGAACUGGAUCCAAUGAUUUUGGCCCACAGCCAAGACAGAAAACUUUGAAGGAACAAGUCCUUUGGGUCUGUAAUCAUCAAGCAAUGAGCUCUGCUGCUUUGGAGAAAAGGUUUGUGCAGGCUCAAUGGCUGUGAUUGUACAGAUCAAGGAGAAACAGCCUCAGGAUAAGAUCAUGAUGAGCGUCCACAGCUUUCUUCACACCAGCACUCUCCCCUCCUAAGGGACACACAAGUCCAUUUCAGUCCCCCACCUUUCUAGCAAGACUAAACCAAAUGUAGGAAAUGCAAACAGAAAUAAGCUGUGGAGGUGGCCGAAUCGCAGAAAAAACAAACUUCUGCACUGCCCAAUUGGACAAAUGGCCCCAAUCAGAUGAGCCACACCUGAGAAACAAAACAGGGCUAAGGCUGUUAAUAAUUCACUACAAUGCAAACAGGCGAUUCCCCAGAGACGCCACACAUCCCACACACACUACAGAGGGUCCCCUCAGCAGGUCGAUUCCUGGACUACGUGCACGGAAGACAUCAGGACAGAAGGAGCAUCCACUGCACGCAGAGUGGCUUCAGGGGAGGUGGGCCAGCAUGUCAUUCCCAAGACAAGAAGCGUUCCAAAUUCUGGAAGACCUGGAGAGCCGGAUUCAGACAGACGCGUGGGCGCUUGGGGGGCUGGUGGUGAUCGGGUCGUUCUGCACAGUCUUCAUUGUCCUCCUCUUAUUUGCUGCCAUCUUUGGCUGCUGCUCAUCUCCAAAGCGCACAUAAUGCAUCACAAACAGCAAGGCCAGACACCACGACAGUUCACGAGUAGUAAGGCCAGACAAGAACUGUCUCAUCCACAACUGGAUGGCUGAAGGAAGCUUCCUCUUCUCGCCUCACAUGGUUACUUCUCCCUACCCAGAUGUACAGCAUUCACAAGCUGACAGCCCAUAUGUAAACGACCUCCUGCGAGGGCCACCCAUGCACUGUCAACUACAAAUCCACCGCAAGCUUGACAUGAUUCAGUCUGAAUUCAAAAACCACUGAUCGACUAAAUGCAAGGUAUCUGCUUGCCUGAAUCUCCCCCCCUCUCCCCAAGCAAAACCAUUGGGUUAGUCCAUGAAGUGAUCAAACAAUGUUUGAAGAUGGAAAAAGAAUCCCUUUAAGAACCCCACCAAGAAAGCCACCUUUCUCUUCUACUAUUUAGGAUGUGGGAGAAAUGAUCUCUCCAGAGGGAAUCAAGACAAACUUGAGAUGUGAAAACCCUUUCAGUACAAGCAGCUGAUGGAAAUAGUCUUCUGCCCUCCUUAGACAACAGAAAAACCUAUGCCUCCUUUGUUGCUGCUGUAAUUCAAGGCCUUUCAGGGUCAGGUUUUUUAGUUUAAAGAACAUAAAUAGAACAAUUAUCCUGGUUUAAAAUUAAAAGGAACAAAUAAAUGGAAAAAUAUGUUGUGCCUUUAAAUAGUAUCUUAAUCAGGAGCCUUCUCCAACUGCUGUAAAGUUAUAGCACACAGCAGACAAGCCCAAAGAGACGCCCUGAAGUGAUACAUGCAGUCUCAGCAAGUUUCUAUCCUGGGAUGAUAUGUGGCACGUGAAAGGUCAGAAGGUGGUGGGGUCUGGGGAAGUUAUGGACAGGAAGUUGUAGACGUACAGAUGGCAGCUACUUUAAGCCUUUGAUAUGAAGGGAUCAGCAUUCCCCAGCCUAUAAACUUGCAGACAGAAAGGGGACCACUGCAUUUUUAAAUGCCCCAUGCAACAGGUGCAAUACUGUUUCCUAACAGCCUCAUUCAUGGGAGCAAAGAAAGUCCAUUGGCUCCAUGUGCACUUUUACUGGAAGGAUUUUCUAUGCCCCUUUUUUUUUCCAAUAGAACAAAAGGGUCCCAGCUGACACUCUUACUAACAGACUCAACAUUGAGAAAACGAGGAGAAGGCGAUAUGGAGGUUGAGUUGCUUAAAUUUCUUUAUCCACUGAAGGAAAACUUUACAUAUCAAGUGGUUAUGCAAGUGCCUGACAAUCAAGGUGUAGCCUGAAGGAUGGCAACAAGAGGUGGAGAGGUUUAGCUGCAUAAGCUGAUCAGUCUUAGACUAGGGAGCUUCCCAGAAGCCCUCUGGUAGAGUCAACUUAUCUGUAGCCAAUGGAGCAUCAUUUCAAUCGACUUCAACCUUUAUGGUCAGACCUCAGCACAACAGGUGAAAGUCUUUCAAAGUACCUAUAAAGCAGAUCUUCUCCGUCAAAACAGAACUGAAGGCAACAGCUUUGCUGUGGCAGCAGCACCGAAAAACUAAACGCACCAUUUCCACUCUGAGCCUCAAACUCCCUCGAGUUCAGCCCAACAUAAUAAAAAUAGAUGCAAGGCUACGGUGGAGGAGGACAGAUGUUGAUUUUCCAGUUCGCAAUCACACACUGCUCUCUUAUUGGCAAAAUUAAAGCCUUGCUGUCUCCAGCUAGCACAACAUGGCAAUCAGCACAAUUACAGCCUCCUCAGAUCAA